rnacentral:misc_RNA from 1 species
AACGCACGAGACCUGCGGACCUGCGGAGGGAUCAUUACCGAGUUAUCCAACUCCCAACCCCUGUGAAUUAUACCUUUGAUUGUUGCUUCGGCGGGACUUCGCGCCCGCCGGGGACCCAAACCUUCUGAAUUUUUUAAUAAGUAUCUUCUGAGUGGUUAAAAAAAUGAAUCAAAACUUUCAACAACGGAUCUCU